rnacentral:rRNA from 1 species
CCUACGGGAGGCAGCAGUAGGGAAUAUUGCUCAAUGGGGGAAACCCUGAAGCAGCAACGCCGCGUGGAGGAUGAAGGUUUUCGGAUUGUAAACUCCUUUUGUUAGAGAAGAUAAUGACGGUAUCUAACGAAUAAGCACCGGCUAACUCCGUGCCAGCAGCCGCGGUAAUACGGAGGGUGCAAGCGUUCCUCGGAAACACUGGGCGUAAAGAGCGCGUAGGCGGGAUAGCAAGUCAGAUGUGAAAUCCUAUGGCUUAACCAUAGAACUGCAUUUGAUACUGUUAUUCUAGAGUAUGGGAGAGGUAGGUGGAAUUCGUGGUGAAGGGGUGAAAUCCGUAGAGAUCAAGAGGAAUACUCAUUGCGAAGGCGACCUGCUGGAACAUAACUGACGCUGAUGCGCGAAAGCGUGGGGAGCAAACAGGAUUAGAUACCCCAGUAGUC